AUGAAACAGAAGAGAGACAGUAUUUCCUUAGACAAAACGUAGAGGUAUAUAAAGUGAAACAGCAACACUUCCAACAGAGUUCAAUCUGAGUUCAAGGUGUAUAUCUCAAGGCACAUACAUCUUGAGCAGACUGUUGUAUAUAGAGUAUUGUCUGGUGUAUACUGUACAUAAUAAGACCCAUAUAACAAAUACCAAUUGAA